rnacentral:tRNA from 1 species
UAGGGUGUAGCUCAGUGGCAGAGCCCUUGCCUAGCAUGCAAGAUGUCCCGGGUUUGAUCUCCAGCAACACAA